ACUAAUACCUUAGAAGUCACCAGGACUACAUCUAUAUAUGAUCCCACCCUCCCACUGAGAUCAACCUCUUCACAGACACUUUUCAGCUCCUGUGAUUUUAAAGGCUCAAAUGUUUGAAAUUACUGAUCAUUUACAUCGAACAGCACCACCUGCUGGUUGAAAUCCCCUCUGCAGUGAGGUUGCUGUACAUCAUCAAGGCAAACCAAGCAACCAAGAUAGAAAUCUGAAGACUUUCAUGAAUUCAUUGUUUUUAAUUGUUGAGUAGGACUCCAUUGUGUAAAUGUACCACAUUUUCUGUAUCCAUUCCUCUAUUGAGGGACAUCUGGGUUCUUUCCAGCUUCUGGCUAUUAUAAAUAAAGCUGUUAUGAACAAAGUGGAA
rnacentral:lncRNA from 1 species